UGCAUGGUUAACACCAAGUUUUCUCUACGUACCUUGGUGGAUGAUAAGCAUUGGAACGCACAAUUAUUGAUUUCUGUUAUCAACCAGGCCAGUGAUAAAAAUAUUGAAUCCAAAUCCAGGCCAUGAACAACAAGAUGAUCAUCUGAGGAAAACUGUAAAUAAACCAAUCAGCGAAGCCUAUUCCAUUGCUGUCAGGAAACAACCUUAAAUGUUAAUAAUAAACUUGAUUACCUCAAAAUUUUUUCAUGUGGACUUUUCAAUGUUCUUGGAUUUUUUGAACAGCUUGUGCUAUUGGAACCAUCAUGGCGGUUGUAGCGGUAUUACUUAGCCACAUUGAAAGGAAUGAAGUCACGGACAUAAAGCCAAACAGCAGUCUAAAUUGCAAAAUAAUUAUAUUUUCAGGUUUACGCAAUACCGUACUCUUUCAAAGUUGAUUGAAUUUAAAAAAAUUCUCUAUUGAAGUGAAAUUUUUAUUGUUGCUUUCGUUUUGCAAAAUAAUAAGCUGACUUUUUCCAUGCAAA